UGCGCAGCGCAUGCUUGACCACGACAUUGCCGAAGGACAGGCCCUUCAGCCGCGCCGUGCGGAUGUAUUGCUGGGUCAUCACCUCGACCAUCGAGGCACGCGUCAUGCGGGCGAUGUAGCCGAUGCCGUAGAUGGCCAGCGUCAUCACCGGCAAGGUGAAGUUGUAGAAGGUGAUGC
rnacentral:ncRNA from 1 species